rnacentral:lncRNA from 8 species
CAAGUGUGAUCAAUGGACAAAGCCAUGUAGAUUUAGAAGAGACAUUUAAAAAUCGCGUUCACUGGGACAAACCUCACUCUUUACUGUAAGUGUGUGCGUGUGCGUGUGUGUGCGUGUGUGUGUGUGCGUGCGUGCGUGUGCUAUAUUACAAAAACAUUAAAUAUAAGUUCCAUUCCUCCAAUGUAUUUACUAUUUGUCUUCCAGAUGUUGUUUCCAAACCUCAGGUGACAGAGUGUGACAGCAGCUCCUGUAGUGUGGUGUGUUCUGUGGACAACAAAAAAGAGGUGACCUUGACCUUGUACAGGGGAGAGGAAAUACUAAACCAGACCAGCAGUCCUGACCUCACCACUGAUCUAUCUCUCCGUUUGGAGGUAGAGGGAAAGAACUACAACUCCACCUACAGCUGUGUGGCUGCUAACCCUGUCAGCAAGGAGACAGUUCUUGUCCCAAAAUGUUGCAGUGAAGAUGGUCAUCCCAAGGAGACAGACAGUGAUGGGAUGACUCGGGGUAUGCUUAUUAUUGCUGUAAUCUGCGUUUUGGUUGCCUCAGGGCUGGUUGGACUUGCAAUCAAUCUAAAGCAGAGGGGAAAUGAACACUCACAAGGCAGGUAUUCAUCUUUUAGAGGUCUGAGGUCAGUCAAAACAUGUCAUAAUCUGCCUUUUUUUUAUUAUCAAGAAAAGUAAUUUGGUAAAAAGUAGGAACUGUUUACUUGAACACAGGAUGCAGGUCAAAUAAAGUGUCACAAUUCCUCUGCUUAGUCAGACAGUAUUAUUAUCAUCUCAGACCUUCCUGAUACACCUCUCUAAAUGUUGAAAAAGCAGCUGGCACCCACACAAACACGCUCUGAAAAUCAUUACUUUAAAGAUUGGCUUCUAUGGUGCCACAAAUACCGCUAGCAGAGAGACAGGUACCCAUCGUAAACAGUAGUCCUGAGGGUUUACAGAACCUGUCCAGGAGAUGAGCGUCUGUAUGUCUCUGUCAGUUAGUCACACCCCCGCCAUAUAUUUAAUUGACUUUAUUUGUCUUCAUAGAUUCAUCCGAAAGAGUGCAAGUUGACAUUGAGUAUGCAACGAUUACUUACAUAAAACAAACAGGUAACCAGGUUAGUAAUAAUGCUACAGGCUGAUAGACAAUAAACCAGCUAUUGCAGCCAUCAUGGCUACAACUGUAAGGUUUAGCACUAUGCAAGCAUCUUCUAUCUGUAUGCCUGAAAGACUGAAUAAUCCUGUCAUAUUGUCCAAGGCGAUUUUAUUAAGUCUUGAGUUGCACAUCCCACCUGAGUUUGAUACCCGGCCUGAUGUCAUUGCAACCAGUUUUGCCCAUAUGAUAUGGUUGGGUUGCACAAUGAGAAGCCACUCAGCACAUAUGGUAUACAGUAAUGCCUUUUAUCUUCACAUUGUCUUUUAGAGUAUGUGCAAAAAAGUCUGUGGACUUUUAAAGUUAGGCUUUGUGUUUCCUCCCACUAGUAUUAGGAAAGAUCCUACAUGUGUUGUGAUGACAGUUGAGUUACCAGCUGCAGAACAAUGAGUGUAGACAAGAGAGCGUCAGACGUGUCUUGCUUCCUUCCUCUGGUACGAAGUAUCUAAUAAUGAAACAUACUAUUAUUUUUUGUUGUUGGUGCUUUCCUGCCCUUCCCGUCUUUCCCUGUCCCUUAUUCCCUGUACCUCUCAUUCCUUCCUUCCCUCCCUACCUCCCUCUCCCUGCCUAGGAGGAGCGAAGAAGUAUACCAGAACUGGAGUCGCAUAGAGACAACCCUGAAAUGGCAUCAGUUUAUGAUACACUGCAGUUACAUCGCAUGGCUGACAGCAGGGAUGUUGACACAGCAUGAAGGAACAGAACUGGAAGUCACUGAGAAGCCAACAUGAUAACUCAUAAAGAGGACAUUUAACCAAAAUGAAAGUAAAAUAAUAAUCACCCAGAAAACCUUUUAGAGGCACAGUUGUUAUGGGAGAAAAAUCCCCUGGAACUGUUGCGCUGAUGUUAUAACUUCAGGCUUUCUUUGUAGGUCAUUCUCACAGACCUGUCAAAUAGAGGCCUCGCUGACAUCCACUGAUAAGGACCAAUUCAAUAACUAUUUAUUGAGUUAGUAGCAGGGUCAGGAUAAUCCUUCUUUUCAGCUGCCUUUUGUCCCAAAUCCCAAUGUAUAAGUUAAAACAAAUGGAACAUAUAUUUUAAUACUGGGCACAACUUUGGUUUUGGAAGUGGGAGGACAUAACUUUUUAUCCUGUCGGAUAAACACUCCAAACAACCUACCCGCCCACUCGGAGGCGUCCGUAUGGUCCUAAAGCACACCAUUGCCUCGUUUUGUAUCACAUUCCAAUGAUAAAACUGGGGGGACAAAAAUGAUAUUUCAGAAUGUGGGGGGGACAUGUGGCACCCUUGGUGUUUGCUAUGCUACUGCUGGCCAAAGCUUCUUUUCAGUUAUGACUGUUUUGUUGUUUAAAUGUAGGUGCCUCCCCUGUAUCUUUUUAUAGCUGGUCAUUGUUUAGCUUGCCAGUGGAUAGCAGCUGUGUACAUAAUAGAAAAAAAGCAGGCGUUUGAGAUAAAGCCUCCUACUCCUUAGCAGCAAUGGCUGUUAGGCUCCUUUAGGUCCAUAGAUGUAAUAACAAAAGCUUUAAUAACAAAAGCUAUUAACAAUAGAUUUACUUUUUUUCUGUAGAUCUUGAUUUGCCAUUUGAUCUUGAGUGUUUUUAGACUCUUCUUAUCACUUUUCGCAAAAUUUUGUUCUGGCCUAACUUGUCUCUCUUAAUUAGCUUGUUUCAUUUAUUAUGAUGGAUCAUUUAUUUAGCUGAAAUAUGUAUAUCUGUCAUUCUUAUUGAAAGCAAGUCUAAGAAGUGGAACACAGGAGUGAUGGUUGCUGAUAAUUGGUAUUGGUAUUUCUGAUCAAUUUGAUGUUAUUUUAAAUGGACAAAAAAAAUGUCAUUUUCUUUCAAAAACAAGGACAUGUCUAAGUGACCCCAAACUUUUUACUUGUAGUGCCGUAUAUAUAUAUAUAUAUUCCAGACUCUGACAUUACUUGUUCUGAUAUUUCUUAAUUCCAUUAUUUUUAUGUUGGGGAUUUGUGUGUAUUGUUAUAAUUAGGGGGUAGUUUUACAAUCAUGUUACACUGUAUGUACAAGUGGGUAACCUGUACAAGUGUGAGGUGUGAAAUGGAAAUGUGUUUUGUUGCAUAUCUCCCUCCCCCUGAGACACCCUCAGAGAGUGGGGUUUUGGCCAGGGAUCAGCCAAUACCCCUGGAGCAAUUAGGGUUAGAUGCCUUGCUCAUGGGCAGAAUGACAGAUUUGACCUUUCGUUUACUGGCCCAAUGCUCUAAACUGCCAGGUUAUGUGCUGCCCUAGUAUUACAGUAUUGCUCUUUUGGAGCUAGAAACAUUAGCAUUUCGCUGCACCUGCAAUAACAUCCGCAAAGUAUGUGUAUGUGACCAAUAACGUUUGAUUUGAUCAGCUUUUUGAUUAGGUGCACUACUCUCCAUGGAUUCAUUCCACAACCAUGCUGUUUUGAGACUUUCUACUUUUACAGUGUAGUUUCACACAGCAGCCAUCCCUUAUCUUUGCUAAGACUCCGCCAUCUGCAAGAGCCAAAUAAAUAUUUUACCAUAUCCUCAAAAGGUCCAAUUCUAUACAAUUAACACAACUUUAUUUGGCAUUUGCCCUACUCUGAAUCCCACAUUUGAAUACUUUCAAUGAAUCUAGUUUCAACAGGUUUUUGCUGCUUGUCACCUUGGCCGUGUGGUUGACGAUAUCAGUCAGAGAUGGUGUAUUUCUCCCUGCCCCCAUUAUCUAUCAUCUCUGUUUCUCUGCAGCCCCACCACAUCCUGUCUAGCUUAGAGACCCUAACUAGACAUCUGGUUAUUUUACCUACUUUAUUUCAAUGCACUUAUUGUAAGUCACUCUUGAUAAGAGUGCCUGCUAAAUUUAGGUGCAGGGGACUGAGAGCAUGGUUUGUGGUGUCAGAUCCCUUGCUUGAGAGAAGCUGUUCAGAGACAGAGGGAUUUACCACAUCUCCCCUAUUAGAAGAAUGACAGCGACUGACCCAUAUAGGCUACUGACAACAGAGAGAACAAAUAAGCGAUAACCACACGCUGACAUAGAUGGCGAUAGAGAAGUGUACAUGCACACUCACGCACACUAACACACGCACACACACAGACAAUAUGGGGUGUUGUGGUGUUGACUGAAUCCAAGUAUGUUGACACUCAUUAAUUUUUAUACAUUUAUUUGUGUAGUUUUACAUGAGCUAAAGCAACCAGGUUAACUUAUGAAGGGAAUGAGAGAGUCAGAGACCGGUACAGUUAUAUGCAAAUAUGAUAUUGAUGAUACAUUCAGCACUGUAUGUCUGAUUGUGGACGGGGUAAAUUAUUCAUUUAAACGCUAAAGCAGUUGAUGAGCUCUUUGCCAAGUCAAAUUUCAGCCCCCCUCACAGCUUGUUUAUCCCACCCACCCCUUCCAAGUAAAAUCUUCUAGCUUUCACCUGGCUGAGUUAGCCGAUGCAACACACCUACACAGAUCUCUGGUUACCCCACACAGGCCCCCAACCCUCCCACAAUCUGGCUGCUCUUCCAAAAUGUAUUCCUGAGGCAUAUGUCUGUGUUCAGUCACCUGCAGCCCAGCCUUUACCCUUGUGUGAUGUUCAUGUUUUUGUUAUUUUUUGUUAUUUUUUAAUAUAUAUAUAUAUUUUUUAUUUUACAUUUUAUUUAACUAGGCAAGUCAGUUAAGAACAAAUUCUUAUUUACAAUGACGGCCUAGGAACAGUAGGUUAACUGCCUUGUUCAGGGGCAGAACGACAGAUUUUUACCUUGUCAGCUCGGGGAUUCGAUUGAGCAACCUUUCGGUUACCGGCCCAACGUUCGCGGGUCUGAUGGACCCACGACAUUAUUGGGUUUGUAAAACAAUACAGCCAUAACAAUUUAUGUAAAAAUGCUUAAUACUUAAUAAUUAGAUGUUGACUUAUAUCAAUUACAAGCAAUAUAGACAGCAUACAUUGUUAAUAUUUGUCACAGUAUCCACAGAAGGUGGCGCCCCUCCUCGGUCGGGCGGCGCUCGGCGGUCGUUGUCGCCGGCCUACUAGCUGCCACCGAUCCAUGUUUCUGUGUCUUUUGGUUUUGUCUGUCUGUUCCGCACCUGUUUCUUGUCUGUCAUUAGUGGGGUGGUAUUUAGUGUGUCUUUUCAGUUCAGGAUUUCGUGCGGGAUUGUUUGAUGUCAUUUCAGGAUAGACGUUAGUGAGCACUGCUCCCUAUUUUCUAUUAUUGACCGGGCUGCGCCCCGUGCGUCAUUUGUUUUGGGAACGUGUUUCCCUUUUUGAUUAUUGUGUGCGCCCUGUGCCUUUCGGCUUCUUGUGUUUUCCGGAUUAUUAUUAAAUACUACGAUCUACCGGACCUCUGUCUCCCGCAAUUGACUCUGCCUUUCUACUGAUCCUGGUAAUCGUGACAAUAUUUGCCAUUUAACUCUGCUAGAUCACAUUAUCAAUAAAAGCGCUGUUCGUUUUUUUUAUAAAAUGUGAUUUUUGUGUUACAAAAAUCAAUUAUAAUCAAGACAUGGGUGGAAUAAAUCAUGUUUAUCUUGAACAAAUAUAUAUGAAACAUGGUUUUCAUCACUAUUUAUGUUUAUU